CAAUAGCGUAUAUUAAAGUUGUUGCGGUUAAAAAGCUCGUAGUUGGAUUUCUGCCGAGGACGACCGGUCCGCCCUCUGGGUGAGCAUCUGGCUCGGCCUGGGCAUCUUCUUGGAGAACGUAUCUGCACUUGACUGUGUGGUGCGGUAUUCAGGACUUUUACUUUGAGGAAAUUAGAGUGUUUCAAGCAGGCAUACGCCUUGAAUACAUUAGCAUGGAAUAAUGGAAUAGGACUUUGGUUCUAUUUUGUUGGUUUCUAGGACCGAAGUAAUGAUUAAUAGGGACAGUUGGGGGCAUUAGUAUUCCGUCGAGAGAGGUGAAAUUCUCAGACCAAUGGAAGACGAACCACUGCGAAAGCAUUUGCCAGGGAUGUUUUCACUGAUCAAGAACGAAAGUUAGGGGAUCGAAGACGAUUAGAUACCAU
rnacentral:rRNA from 1 species